rnacentral:rRNA from 1 species
GAGUUUGAUCAUGGCUCAGAUUGAACGCUGGCGGCAGGCCUAACACAUGCAAGUCGAGCGGUAGCACAGAGAGCUUGCUCUCGGGUGACGAGCGGCGGACGGGUGAGUAAUGUCUGGGAAACUGCCUGAUGGAGGGGGAUAACUACUGGAAACGGUAGCUAAUACCGCAUAACGUCGCAAGACCAAAGUGGGGGACCUUCGGGCCUCAUGCCAUCAGAUGUGCCCAGAUGGGAUUAGCUAGUAGGUGGGGUAACGGCUCACCUAGGCGACGAUCCCUAGCUGGUCUGAGAGGAUGACCAGCCACACUGGAACUGAGACACGGUCCAGACUCCUACGGGAGGCAGCAGUGGGGAAUAUUGCACAAUGGGCGCAAGCCUGAUGCAGCCAUGCCGCGUGUAUGAAGAAGGCCUUCGGGUUGUAAAGUACUUUCAGCGGGGAGGAAGGCGAUAAGGUUAAUAACCUUGUCGAUUGACGUUACCCGCAGAAGAAGCACCGGCUAACUCCGUGCCAGCAGCCGCGGUAAUACGGAGGGUGCAAGCGUUAAUCGGAAUUACUGGGCGUAAAGCGCACGCAGGCGGUCUGUCAAGUCGGAUGUGAAAUCCCCGGGCUCAACCUGGGAACUGCAUUCGAAACUGGCAGGCUAGAGUCUUGUAGAGGGGGGUAGAAUUCCAGGUGUAGCGGUGAAAUGCGUAGAGAUCUGGAGGAAUACCGGUGGCGAAGGCGGCCCCCUGGACAAAGACUGACGCU